rnacentral:lncRNA from 12 species
AAUGGGACCGUGCUCGCCACAGCUGGGGGAACUAGGAACACACUGGACCAAAGUGGAGUUCGGAAACAUAUCCGUUUAAAAAUUCUCUGUAAUUUUAAUCAAGAGACUUUGGCUGCCUUUGCCAUAAGAGAUUUUAAAUUUUCUUUGCAGGGCAUCGCUGCACCAGGUGGGGUGGGAUGAACUCAACACAUCAACACACUGGCAGCAGCUGGAAUGCUCACGGGCCAUCAGCGGCCAUUAACAGAACAUCAGUGGCCACCCGGGAACAUCCACCCCAGACUCGGCCUCUGGCACAGCUGCAGAAACCUCCUCUGAAAAGACUGAUAAAAUCAGGGAAUGAAGAUCUAAUUAACAUCACAAGGGGAGAAAUCCGGAUCCAAAAGGAGACCAAAUAUCAAGAACUGAAUAUUUGCAACUUGAGACCAAAGAACACUGACCCAUUUCAUUUUUGUGACUGUAUAAAAGAACUGAAAAAUUUACUAAAAACGGAAUGUCAUGGAAUGAUUCUCUCUGCGCACACGGNACACUCGGGGCACAAGCAGGGCAUCCCUUACCGGUGCCUCCGUUGGUGUUUGGUCAAGAUUGAGCUCCGGCUGAAGCUCUUCCCACACUCCUCACACUCGUGGGGCUUUUCCCCGGUGUGGAUGCGCCGGUGUUUGGUGAGGGUGGAGUUUUGUCUGAAUCCCUUCCCGCAGUUGGGGCAGCAAAAGGGCUUCUCCUGUGUGCGUGCGCUGGUGCAGAAGGAAAGUGCCUUUGUUUGGUGAGGGUGGAGUUUUGUCUGAAUCCCUUCCCGCAGUUGGGGCAGCAAAAGGACUUCUCCUGUGUGCGUGCGCUGGUGCAGAAGGAAAGUGCCUUUGUUCGGAAACCUCCUCUCACACACCCCACACUCGUAGGGCCUCUCCACAGUGUGAAUCCU